CAAUAGCGUAUAUUUAAGUUGCUGCAGUUAAAAAGCUUGUAGUUGGAUUUCGGGUGGGAAUGGCCGGUCCGCCGUUUCGGUGUGCACUUGCUACGCCCACCUUGCUGCCGGGGACGUGCUCUUGAGUUCACGCUCGGGACACGGAGUCGGCGAGGUUACUUUGAGUAAAUUAGAGUGUUCAAAGCAGGCCUACGCUCUGAAUACAUUAGCAUGGAAUAACACGAUAGGACUCUGGCCUAUCUUGUUGGUCUGUAGGACCGGAGUAAUGAUUAAGAGGGACAGUCGGGGGCAUUCGUAUUUCAUUGUCAGAGGUGAAAUUCUUGGAUUUAUGAAAGACGAACUACUGCGAAAGCAUUUGCCAAGGAUGUUUUCAUUAA
rnacentral:rRNA from 1 species